CCUUAGACCUUGCUGAGAAGGCAGAUUCCAAUCUGGAUGGAUUGGAAGCCGCAGAAUUUGGACAAAAUUUAGAAGUUCAAAAUCCGGUUGAAAACACAGUGUUACAAUGUUAAAUUCUUCUAGACCUUGCUAAAUUUCACUUUUCCUCCGACAAAAAAAAAAAAAAAGACAUUCUUUCCCAUGUUUUACACAAGACAAAAAGGAGUGGGGCGAAAAGGAAGGAUUUAACUUCUUUUUCUCAGUUCCUAAAGUGGUGGCCCUCAUGCCAGACUCCGAGCCACUUGUGCAAAGGCUUCUGCUGGGUGAGGCCUCCAAACCUGGGUGUGUCUCUGAAGGUCCAGAGCAUCGACUUUCUUGCUUUGUCCUGCUUCUUUUCUAGGUUGACCCCACUUCCCCCUACCCUUCCUUUCCUUAAAGGAAGCGGGAGGGAGAGGGAGUGAGUGCUAAGUUAAAAGGAGCCCGAGUCUGAUCACAAUAUGGUCCCAUUUCCUUUCACGUUAGAGUCAUUGUGGCUUUGUGCCCGGCUGGCACCGGGCCUGGCGGGCGCUUCGGACCCACACUCUGGGCGCACACGUGUUGGGUAUCCCGGCUGUCAGGGUAGCAACUUCUGCUGGUACUGUGGUGCUUGUGAUAGCAAGGCUCAGAACUUGGUUUUAAGGCCAGCGGGAUGGACGCUGUUACCUCUUUCAAAACCCACUGACAGGCCCAGCCACGGAGAAACAGGCCCACGGCUUCAAACUUCUCCAGAAGUGCUCUCCUCACGGCGACACGUAGGAAGAAUGUUUUCAAGGCACUUCCAGUUACCUUGCUACCUUCAAAAUCAAGACGUGUUCAUCUAUCUGUCUAAAAGCCCCCAUUUUUUUUUGUGUUGUUCAUUUUGGAAUGGAGGACAACUGUAUAUACAUUUUCAAUGAGGAAACGGACAGCAUAUCACAGAAAUCAGGACCUUUUCAAAAACCUGCUCGGAAAUUCUACUUUUAUAUCUGUUUUGUCAUAUUUUGCUCGUUCUGACAGUUAAGAUGAUGACAAUUUUCAUGAAAAAUGUUUGUUAGGGAAGAAACCCAUCAUGAUUGCUUUUUACCACAUCUACUAUGUGGAGACUCUACAAUUGCAAAAAGACAGAUGGCAAAAACCAUGUCUGCUCUGCUGAAAACAUGAGGUUUCUUAGCAUUUGUUUAAUUAAAUACGGCUGCUUCCACAGCUUCUGAGCUGAUGUUUUGAAGAAACAAACUCUCUUUAAAGAAAAACUUAUUCAUUUCAUUUUAUUUGCACAGUUGAUGCCAAGUUUUCCAACCAACUUUCUUUACAGAGCUGUAAUAAUAUCCAGGAGAACUCAGGGAAAUAUGUGAAAAAUGGGUUGACUAUGGAAUGUUUAGAGCAGGGAUUUGGGUUCAGCUCUGGGUGCUCACAAGUUCGUAUUUAGCACUUGCUGGUGGCAUUUACAGUUUGCCUGAUUUCUAGCCAUUGGAACACACACCCCGAAAGAUCCAGUUGCUGAGGUUGUGAUGCUUGUUGGAAGGAUUUAGUGGAUUAGACUAAAGGAAAUGGGGUUUUGGUUUCUGGCUCUGUUAGUGAUGUCUGUGUGACUUUAGACAAGUUACUUAGCUUCUUUGUGUACCCCUCUCCCACUUUUUCCCCCAGCAAUGAAAGGGGAGGUGAAAAAUAGAGGGGACGAAUAUGAUACUAACAUACAUUUCAGGGCCAACAUAAGUAAAUCUGAGUUGAUGCUUCGUGAUACAUUGUCUCUUUGUGAUCCAAAAAGAAAAGAGUGUGAUUAAGAAGUCAUCUUAUGUAACAUGGUCCUUUUAUUUACACUUUCAGAGGACUCUUUUAUUAUAUACUUCC
rnacentral:lncRNA from 1 species